ACAUACGACCAUACCCACUGGAGAACUCGGGAUCCCGUCCGCUCUCCCAUAGAUAAGCCAGUGAGGGCCAGACCAGUAGUUGGGUCGGUGACGACCAGCGAAUCCCUGGUGUUGUAUGUU
rfam:Colletotrichum orchidophilum strain IMI 309357 Scaffold_67.1, whole genome shotgun sequence.